rnacentral:snoRNA from 1 species
ACGACAUGAUGGGGACAUUUUCUGACGAGGCCCUUUAAUCUUUCCCUUGCCUCGUGGAACUUCUCAAUAUCAUGCUGGGAGAAUCUAGUGAGAACUCGUCUUAUUUG